rnacentral:lncRNA from 1 species
UAAUUAAAAUAUACUACUUCACAUAUAUAUGCUUCAAAUAUGUUUUACAUAAAGUUUGAUACCGUUAAGACUAGUGGCCUUGCCACGUAGAUAAAACUUAAAAUAAAAGUACAUGAAGAAAAUCAAAAGAAAGCUUAACAGAAGGACCCCCUAAGUCCAACAUGACUGACACUUAUACUGACUGUAUAUAAUAUUACGUACUAGUAACGAUGUGAUAAGCGUUUGACAAAACGCUAGCAACCUUCAGCCUUGACAUUAUCGUAAUCUGUCACUCCAUAGCCUUCCCUCCUAAAGGGUCUAGCUCGUCGCCUGAUCGUCAUAGAUCAAUCCAAAGAUGCAAGACAAAAAGAAUACAGGGCUAAGAUUUACGUACAAGUUUAAAAGUGGGAAUAGGAUGUAAAAUAGUAAUAUAUAUACAUGACAACCACAAUUAUUCGAACAAGCGCAUCUUUAUCCCAUAUUUACCUAUACUCUAUAAGUAUUUAUUCUAAUGCAUCCUUGAACUAUAUGCUGACUCAGGCCACUAAACGCUGUCAAGGAUACCUAUCCCAUUUACCAAGAUCAGAUAUCACAAGACCACAUGCCACCAACGUACUCCCAAUUACCAAGAGCUACGCCACCUAACUUCACAUGGAGUCCAGGUGUUAUAAGUCGAUCGUCCCCGAGGAUUCAGGCCAAGACCCUCGUCUUGCCUAGCAUGCAUAAAUAAUAAUCCCCGUCGGGAUUGUAGGCGACUGAUCAACCUCGUACGUCCCAUACCGCACGGCAGUGGACUUAUACAUUCCUCAAUGCAGGUCUAUAUGAUCACUCAAUCAUUUUGUAGCAACGCUCAACUAUAAGUAUUUAGUUAAUAUUUGGGAAAUAUCGUAUUAACCUUUCAGGUCAUAGUUAUUAUCUCAUUACUUCAGUUGAGUGCCAAAUCCAUUAAAUGUCUUGUCUAUUUCUCCUUGGUGUGAUCCUUGUCUCUAUAUAACUAGUUCAGUUUAUACAGUGAAUAAUGUAUGGUUGACUUCCCAGGUAAGAGAGGUGGACCGUAAAGGACAUGGUCGACCAAGUCUUAUCCUUAGCCAGAAUCCAACCGAAUACAACUACCCAAUGUAUCCAACUUCCCUUAUUUCAUUGGGGAUCUAACACUUAAUAUCUAAUCAAUGUUGUUGUUUCUCUCCUUAAUAGAUCAUUUUCUUAGUCUAUCAAUCACAAUCAUUCAAGUAUAAAUAAAAUAAACAAUUAGACAAUUAAUCAAACAAUGUAAGCACAAUACAACCUCAAAUUGUCAUAGAUCAUUCUUAUGAUAAAUAAUUAAGGUCGGCAUAACCUCGCUUAGUGAUUUGGGAAAAUCAUUAUUCGAGAAUAGGCUCUCCUUACUUAUUUAUCGCUGGUAGGGCUUGGGUCACCACUACCCACAUAUAUAUAUUAAGCUAUUUUACGCUAACCGUCCCAACGUAUACGAGACCUUGCCCCCACCUUUUGUUGUUGAUCGUUGUUGAAAGUCCACGAGCGUUUUCUCUGAUGUUUGCCCAGAACCUAAUUUACGAUAACCGUUGAAUUGUACGAAAUUUAUAAAAUAAUUAGAAUAUAAUUUACGGUUAAAUAAACAUAAUCCCGUUACAAAUUAAGAUAUUUAUUUAUUUAAAAUAUUUAAUCAUAACCUCCACUAUAUUUAAAUCGUUAUUAAACUCAAGUAUAAAUUAGACUAUACUCCUGUUUGGAUUUGUUUAUUUUAGAAAAUUAUCAAGAGUGUAUUCCUAAUAACAUUUUAAUUUUAUAAUAAUACUUGGGCAUUAUAACAACUUAAAAUGGUAGAACUAUCUUGGACUUUAUAAGUUCAAUAUCUCAAUGUCUUAACGGAAAUUUAAAUCAACAUCUUAAAAUAACCUUUAUAUAAAUAAAAUAAUUAAUAAUUAAAUUAUAACGACUUACCGGUUACUUAUGAAAAUGAUUUGAGCAGAACUUUGACGUAUCAAACUCCUUAAAACUUUAGA